rnacentral:rRNA from 1 species
CGCUGGCGGCGUGCUUAACACAUGCAAGUCGAACGGAAAGGCCCUGCUUUUGUGGGGUGCUCGAGUGGCGAACGGGUGAGUAACACGUGAGUAACCUGCCCUUGACUUUGGGAUAACUUCAGGAAACUGGGGCUAAUACCGGAUAGGAGCUCCUGCUGCAUGGUGGGGGUUGGAAAGUUUCGGCGGUUGGGGAUGGACUCGCGGCUUAUCAGCUUGUUGGUGGGGUAGUGGCUUACCAAGGCUUUGACGGGUAGCCGGCCUGAGAGGGUGACCGGCCACAUUGGGACUGAGAUACGGCCCAGACUCCUACGGGAGGCAGCAGUGGGGAAUAUUGCACAAUGGGCGGAAGCCUGAUGCAGCAACGCCGCGUGCGGGAUGACGGCCUUCGGGUUGUAAACCGCUUUCGCCUGUGACGAAGCGUGAGUGACGGUAAUGGGUAAAGAAGCACCGGCUAACUACGUGCCAGCAGCCGCGGUGAUACGUAGGGUGCGAGCGUUGUCCGGAUUUAUUGGGCGUAAAGGGCUCGUAGGUGGUUGAUCGCGUCGGAAGUGUAAUCUUGGGGCUUAACCCUGAGCGUGCUUUCGAUACGGGUUGACUUGAGGAAGGUAGGGGAGAAUGGAAUUCCUGGUGGAGCGGUGGAAUGCGCAGAUAUCAGGAGGAACACCAGUGGCGAAGGCGGUUCUCUGGGCCUUUCCUGACGCUGAGGAGCGAAAGCGUGGGGAGCGAACAGGCUUAGAUACCCUGGUAGUCCACGCUGUAAACGGUGGGUACUAGGUGUGGGGUCCAUUCCACGGGUUCCGUGCCGUAGCUAACGCUUUAAGUACCCCGCCUGGGGAGUACGGCCGCAAGGCUAAAACUCAAAGGAAUUGACGGGGCCCCGCACAAGCGGCGGAGCAUGCGGAUUAAUUCGAUGCAACGCGUAGAACCUUACCUGGGUUUGACAUGGAUCGGGAGUGCUCAGAGAUGGGUGUGCCUCUUUUGGGGUCGGUUCACAGGUGGUGCAUGGCUGUCGUCAGCUCGUGUCGUGAGAUGUUGGGUUAAGUCCCGCAACGAGCGCAACCCUUGUUCACUGUUGCCAGCACGUUAUGGUGGGGACUCAGUGGAGACCGCCGGGGUCAACUCGGAGGAAGGUGGGGAUGACGUCAAGUCAUCAUGCCCCUUAUGUCCAGGGCUUCACGCAUGCUACAAUGGCUGGUACAGAGAGUGGCGAGCCUGUGAGGGUGAGCGAAUCUCGGAAAGCCGGUCUCAGUUCGGAUUGGGGUCUGCAACUCGACCUCAUGAAGUCGGAGUCGCUAGUAAUCGCAGAUCAGCAACGCUGCGGUGAAUACGUCCCCGGGGCUUGUACACACCGCCCGUCAAGUCAUGAAAGUUGGUAACACCUGAAGCCGGUGGCCUAACCGUUGUGGGGGAGCCGUCGAAGGUGGGACUGGUGAUU